CUACGGGUGGCAGCAGGCGAGAAAACUUUGCAAUGUGCGAAAGCACGACAAGGUUAAUCCGAGUGGUUUCUGCUAAAGGAACCUUUUGACAGUCCUAGAAACACUGUUGAAUAAGGGGUGGGCAAGUUCUGGUGUCAGCCGCCGCGGUAAAACCAGCACCUCAAGUGGUCAGGAUGAUUAUUGGGCCUAAAGCAUCCGUAGCCGGCUCUGUAAGUUUUCGGUUAAAUCUGUACGCUCAACGUACAGGCUGCCGGGAAUACUGCAGAGCUAGGGAGUGGGAGAGGUAGGCGGUACUCGGUAGGAAGGGGUAAAAUCCUUUGAUCUAUUGAUGACCACCUGUGGCGAAGGCGGUCUACCAGAACACGUCCGACGGUGAGGGAUGAAAGCUGGGGGAGCAAACCGGAUUAGAUACCCGUGUAGUC
rnacentral:rRNA from 1 species